GUGCCAGCCGCCGCGGUAAGACGAACCGUGCGAACGUUAUUCGGAAUCACUGGGCUUAAAGGGCGCGUAGGCGGGCAGUCAAGUCGGUGGUGAAAUCCUCCAGCCUAACUGGAGAAGAGCUGUCGAUACUGGCUGUCUCGAGGGGUGUAGGGGUCUGUGGAACAGUGGGUGGAGCGGUGAAAUGCGUAGAGAUCCACUGGAACGCCGGUGGCGAAAGCGACGGACUGGACACCUUCUGACGCUGAGGCGCGAAAGCCAGGGGAGCAAACGGGAUUAGAAACCCCGGUAGUCC
rnacentral:rRNA from 1 species